rnacentral:rRNA from 1 species
AUGGUUAAAUUUAUGGAAUAUUUCACCGGAUAUGCACUAUCCUACCCAAUUACACAGGAAAUGAUUACUUCUUUCAGGUUUAAGUUAGCUAGCAUACUAUUAUGUUGCAAAACAAACACUGCAACAAUGACUACAAUCGUUGAAGAAAGUGACGAUGACACCAAGGGAGAUCCUGAUGAUGUUCAAAUAUUGGAAAGUUUAGAUAAUUAUAAAAAAACAAAACAAAAAUUACCAUUAUCUGUUGAAAAUAAAUACAGAUCACUAAUAUCAGUUCUUUCUAAUAUGACCUUACAUGAGUUAACAGCUGGACUCUGUAGCUUCAUUAAAUCAAUCAAUUACACCAAGAUUUUAGAGAAAGUAUGGAUCCAUAGUUCAAAACCAUAUCCAAUUAGCUUGUCUCUAAAAAAACUACAAGGAAUGCUAAAGGAUGAUUUACCCAUGGACCGAGAUUGCUUUAAUUUGAUCGUACGGAAGAUUAUGUUGGAUGACAUCCAAACGACACAAAAAAAGCAAUUGAUAGCAAAGCAUUAUCUGGACAUGAAAUUUUGGAUGACUACUGAUUAUGGAAGGCACCCAGAUUACCAUAAAAAGUUAGAUGUGGAGCAACUAGAAAAUUCGAUUCGUAGUUGGUCUGGUAUCAAUAUUUCAACAUUUAAAUCGAUCCAUAUUCCAGUACAAACCAUGGAUGAAUUCAUUCUAUUCACAUUGGACCAAGAUACCAGAAUAGUGUACAUUUUGGACCCUACUCCUAUUAAUCCAAUGUACCGAUACAACCCACUCGCAAAAUAUAUGAAAACAAUUAUAUGGAUUUCCGAACACUUACAAAAAGCAAUGUCAAAAGCAUGCCCUGGGUCUAGAUGGAACGAGGAUAUUCGCCUAUGGCAACAUAAAAUCCUAGAUGAUAUUCCAAUUUACAACAGGGAAUUGUCUGGUUAUCUUGUUCCCCUAUUCAUGUCCACAUGGGACGAAAGACCACAUUUGCCAUUUUUAAAGGAUGGAUAUGAACUCAGAAAACUAAUUUUGGGCCAAGUGCUAACAUUCAAGGACAAUGAAUGUGAAGAUAGCAUGCCUGCUGGUGUACUGGAAUUCAUCAAUUGUAUUAGGAAAAUCCAAAGUAAAACUGGUAUGUCAAAUAGUAUC